CAGUAGCCGCGGUAAUCCGUAGGGGGCAAGCGUUAUCCGGAAUUACUGGGUGUAAAGGGAGCGUAGACGGUUAAACAAGUCUGAAGUGAAAUGCCGGGGCUCAACCCCGGAGCUGCUUUGGGAACUGUAGAACUGGAGUGUCGGAGGGGUAAGCGGAAUUCCCAGUGUAGCGGUGAAAUGCGUAGAUAUUGGGAGGAACACCGGCGGCGAAGGCGGCUUACUGGACGACAACUGACGUUGAGGCUCGAAGGCGUGGGUAGCAAACUGGAUUAGAUACCCCGGUAGUCCCUGUCUCUUAUAC
rnacentral:rRNA from 1 species